UGUUGUUGCAACCAGACUUAGCCUAGAAAUCUAGACGCACCCUAGCGGCAGCAAAUGUAAUUUGCAGUCCGGGUCAGUCUAGAAACUCUCCGUUGGCUUGUGAGCUG